GGAACCAUGGCAGACACAUCUCCAGGAACUGUGUUUUUGUUGGCUGCAAUGUGCACUGCUUCCAACACCUUCUCAACUCUGGAGCCAUCAAUACCCUGAUUCAAGAUUUUUGAGAAAGAACAUUAGACUCACUUUAUGAAGGUAAAUGAGUGAGGGAAGUUGAUAAUACCUGGUAUCCAUGAGAAAGAUGCCCUCCAUGAGGAAGGUCAAGCGCCAUGAUUCGCUCAUGAGGUUUCAGCAAUGCGGUAUACACAUGAAAAUUUGCAGGUGAACCAGACAGAGGUUGCACAUUUACUGCAAAAUAGGGGUAAGAGACACAUAAGCUACAUUUCCUUCUCUGUUAUUUUUUCUUUUUUUGAUUCUUUUCCCCCUUCCUUUGGGAAUUAAAACAACAUAUUGAACACAGAAAUAUUCAUUGGAGAAAGUGUGAGAUGUGAAAGCAAAGUCCUAUGAAGCCAAAACAGGGAAAUUUGUCCAUAUACAAUGAAAAACAAAUCAGGUACUAUGUUAGUGUUGUGUGAUUACCUCCCCAUUUUGCCGGAUCCAACCGGAACGCUUCCAAGGCACGCUUCUGGCAUAGUGUUUCAGCCAUGUCAAUAUACCUGAAAUAAGAAAGAUCAGAAAUCAUUGAAUUGAUUCAAUAUUUCAAUGUGACACUCCUAUAGAAGAAAGUGAAAGAGUGACAUACUCAUUUCCACCAUAGUAUCUGGCACCAGGAUAUCCCUCACUGUAUUUGUUUGUCAUGAUAGACCCUACAGCUUCCAUCACAGAGACAGAGGUGAAAUUUUCUGAGGGUAUGAGUUCCAGCCCCUUCACAAAUACAAAAACAAGAAGUCAGUCAGUCCAUAUGUGUGGUGAAAACUGAAAAGCAAAACUCUACCAUCAUCUCAUCAGUCAUCAUAUAUGAUAGUUGAUAGGCAAUCAAACAUUCAAUCCAAUAUUCCCCCUGGCUAGGAAGAAUCAUAAUAUCAUGCAGCAUAAACUCAGCACUGUCAAAUGUUUUGCAUAAACUCAGAUAGUUGGAUAAUUUUUUUCAAGAUUUUCUAUAUCCCUGGCAAAGAUGCAAGUAAUAAUAAACUAAUAUAUUACCUUCCAUUGUCUAGCUUUCUCUAGCUCAAUUAUAUCAGCAAUCUCAGGAUCAACUUCCUCAAGUGAAGCAUUCAAUUGCUUUGGCCACUGCAAAGGCAAAUCACUAUAUUACGAUAGAAGUCUGCUUUUUCUUCCUUUCUGCUUGAAAGUUGAAACAAUAUGUAUAUCUAGAUAUGCAUAAUAUUAACUGUAAUUAUAUAAUAAGCUUACCGAAACUCGGGAUUUUUCUUUGUCGUAAACAGCUUCAUCAGGUAAAGAGGACUACAUUCAAAAGCAAGGGAAAGGAAUGGCAGUAGUUAAUUGGUUAAGGUAGGGGAGCAAUAGAAGAUUAUGAAUAUGAAUAUUUGUUAUUAUAAAGAUAAUAAUAUAAUAUAAAGCAUAUAUGGUUGGAAAUUUGAUUAAUGAAGACCUUGUAGUAAACAGUGGUGCCUGCACUGAAGAGAGGACGUAAAGGCUUGUCCAUGGAAGAAGAAAGCCUGCGAAGAAGCGCCAUUGCCAUUGCCAUCUCCAAGACACAAAACACGGGGUGUGUGUGUGUGUGUGUCUGUGUGUGUUAUUGUGUAUGUUUUUUCUCUUGUAACGUAGUUUACAGGUUUUGGUUUUGUUUGUUUCUGUUGAGUUUUGAUUUUGGUGGUUGGUGGCUCUUGAUGAUCCACUCCUUAUUCCUUAGUCCCACUUCUAAGUAAGUUAUGUAUAAAUAACUAUCAAAUAUUUUUAUUUUAAUUUGAGGAGUUUGAUUGUCAUGUAUUCAUUAUUCAAUAA